ACGAAGUGGGAGCAAGAGGGGGGGGAAGAACGGAGGGGGCAAACGUGGGUCGGCAGUGUGGGGCGUCAAGCGAACGGAGGCGGGUUAGGAAGAGCCAUGUGAAAUCCAGCGGGUGAACCGUGGAAGUGCAUGGGAAACUGCUGAGCUUGAGUACUUAAGAGGAUCGCGGAAUUCCCGGUGUAGAGGUGAAAUUCGUAGAUAUCGGGAGGAAUACCAGUGGCGAAGGCGGCGAUCUGGGAAGAUACUGACGCUGAGGUGCGAAAGCGUGGGGAGCAAACAGGAUUAGAUACUCGGGUAGUC
rnacentral:rRNA from 1 species